CCCCUUAGUACGAAUAGGUUGGAGCACUGAGACUUCCGGUUCCGCAAGGCUCACCUUUCAGGUGAGGUUUAUCUCGGCUCAAGAUCACUGAGAGGGAGACCGUCUCAAAGAGUAAUUGUAUCCUGCGUAGCACAAAAGUCACCGUGUUCUGGGAGGAGGGAGGCGCCGCUCCUUCCUCCAGGUCCCCAGGGAGUUUCUGAUCUUGUCCAGCAUGCACUGCGCUCCCUGAGCUCUGAGGAUGUUUCCAGGUGCCAAGAGCAACGGUGCAGACGGGGGCCUGCAGGAGGCUCUGAUUUGGAAGUGAGCAGCUGAGGAAGUGAAGAUUCUGCCUGGAAACUGACUUGCUGAUAAGCUUGGAUGGAGGGACUCGCCCAGCCCUGGAGGCUCCUGCGCCAAAGCACCUGCCUGUCAGAGCCGAGGGGAGUCCGAGGGGGACCCCAUACUCCAUGGCUGUGUUCACAGCAAAUUCGAGGAGGAAGUAAGGAGACUCCUGUACACUGGAGCGCCCGCCCGCUGUCCCGUCAGACUGGGCGCUGCGCCCUGCCGGCUGCGACCGACCGUUAGGCCAGGACCCAGGGCUUCCGGCCGCCCUUCGCUGCCCAGUGUGGCCUCGACAGCAGGCCAGGCCUCGCUUCGUUGUUUUGAUUUGCUUUCCCUGGCCUGCGCUCAAGCGCCUUCUCGCGCUUGUGCGCAAGCUGAAAGUCUCCGGUUUCAGGAAACACCCCUCCACUGCAGGCGCGGGCUCCACAACAGCAGACGUCAGCCAACAUGAGCAGGAGCCUGAGUGAGUCGGAUGGCGCGCGUCAGCUCCUGGCCCUGCCUGAAACGCCCCCGCUGCUUCACAGGGGAGGAGCUCACAGCUGGGCCCACAUCCCGCCGUGCUGGUCAUCUGAUGGAGGUCACAGGCUCUAGGCCACACGGAUGGAGUGAAAGAUGUUUCUGGAACGCUGAAGGGCAGAACAUAGUUAAUUCUGGCAAUUUUGUGGGGCAGCUUCUGCUUCUUCAUUAGGACAGAAAUAGCCAGAGAUGAUUUUACAUAAGGAAGUCACAGAGGGACAGCAGCGGGGGUGCUUCUGGCACCAGGUUGCUUUUCAGCAUUUUAAAUAAGUUAAUAGCAUAGCUUCCAUCACUCCCGAAUAAAUAUCCAAUUAUGUUGCUGAAUUUUGAAACAUCUUAAAGUAAUAUUUCAAUUAAUAUAUCGUUUGUUAUUUUCAUAUAAUAGCAUUUAUUGGAGCUCAGGAAAAACUUUGUAGAGAAUUACCCUCCGAAAGACCUAAGUCUAAUUCCUAAUAUAACUUGUUUCUUUUGAGAUUUCACUUUUGCCUUUUUUUCUUUUCAUAAAUCAAAUUUCAUUCUAUUUUUCUCCUUCCUUCUGGAGCAUGAAAAAGAUUUUAUUUCUUCUUUAGUUAUUCUAGGACAAAUUAAAGUUUUAAUUGUAAGUUUUAAAUUUGGCAUCGUGUGACAUUAUGAAAUACAUGUUCUAUUAGUCAUUAGCUAAAAUAGCAAAUGGCUUUCACUACUGUGCUUUCCUUUUAUUUCUUUUUUGGGCGGGACUAGGGAUUGAACCCAGGCCCUCACACCUGGCAGACAAGCACUCUACCGCUGAGCUACACCCAGCCCCUUUUAUUUUUAUUUCGGGAAGGGUCUUGCUAAGUUGCCCUGACCCGGCUGGCUGACCUGGAAGUUGUGUCCCUUCUGUCCCAGCCUCCCGCACAGCCAGGCAUACAGACGUGCACCACCACAGCAGAAGCAAACUGGUAACUUCAAUUGUACCAAGAAACUUCUCAUUACCUGUCUCCUUGUCUUUUCCUAAAGCACAAGCUUGUAAUCUAUGGGCAGGGCCAGACCUCAGGGGAUGCUGCCCUACAGGGACACUGGCCCUGCUUCUGAGCCAAGUGUCUGGUGAGUGAGGUGGAGAAGGAAAGGCCCAGAUGUCACCUGUCAGGGAGGCCCAGUUGCCCUCAGGUGGGAGCAGUGGAAGAUGAAGCAGCUUUCCUUCCACAGCUGCUAAGCCUUGCUGGGAGUCCGUGGGUGGCUUCAGUGUUUUCUCCGGAGGAUGGGAUAACACUACCCCUCAUGUUGCCACCUGCCACAGUUUACCAUAGUCUCAGAAAAGGCGAAGGACAGGGGCUUCUGUUCUUUGUCACUCCAUGGAAGGAACUUUAGGACGCUGCAGGACUUUUUGGAAAGUGGCAGCUAAAGCUCUGGGGAUAAACGCUCCAGAGGGAAGGUGAAGACAGUGAGGGUUGUGCGAGACCUGGAACCUCUCGAACGGCCCACGGGUGGGGUGCUCACACAGUGUCUCCGAGUGUGUGGUGUGGCACAGGACCCCGCAGCACCUUCGGAUUUGCACUGCCAGGCCGACCUCGGAGGGACGGACUUGCAGCUACAACACAGACACCUCUGGGGUGAAAUGUGGCGACGGUUUGACAGGCAUAGCAGGAGCUCCGGCCAAAAAGGAUUUAUCCAAUUAAAGUUAUGGGAUGAAUUUUGGCUGGCAGCAUGUAAUUACCCGGCUUGGAGCGGAGCCAGGAUCCUGAGGUUAACACCCGUGCUCUUGCCAGCAGCCUCCUACCUGCCAAGGCUCGGCAGGGCUGGAGCGCGCUGUUGUGACAUCUCGCACAAUGCUGGUGACGCACAGCCUGGACCUGGUUUCUUCAGCGCUCAUUAUGUUCCUUCUUUUUAUGCCACAUUAGGCUCGAAACCAAAUGUCCACAUAGAUGUCAAUUUCCUCAAAUCUGAGUUUAAAAUUAUAAUUAGAAAAUAAAAAAUAGAUUUACAAAUUAAUUUAUUCCGUCAGAGUGGUUAUCGAGCGAUUAUUUCACUGUAGGAGUGAAACUGGAUCAGAGCGGUGAUAUUGAACCCUCGCCGCCUUAGGAGAAAAAUGGACCAGGAGCCAGGUCGGGCCUGGGUGGGAGAGCGCCCCGGGCCCACAGACAGCCGGGCAAGAGACAAGCCC
ensembl:lncRNA